CAAUAGCGUAUAUUAAAGUUGUUGCGGUUAAAAAGCUCGUAGUUGGAUCUCGGCAGGCAGGGGGUGGUUCGCUCUUAGCGCUACUGCCCCAUUUGCCUGUGUGAUUGGCGGAGGUUUCGGGGUGUUCUUCGUUGAGUGACCCGGGGCGCCGUCAGGUUUACUUUGAAAAAAUUAGAGUGCUCAAAGCAGGCUUUUCACGCUUGAAUAUUCGUGCAUGGAAUAAUGGAAUAGGAACUCGUUUCUAUUUUGUUGGUUUUCGGAAAUCGAGUUAAUGAUUAAUAGGGACAAUUGGGGGCAUUAGUAUUCAGACGACAGAGGUGAAAUUCUUGGACCGUCUGAAGACUAACUACUGCGAAAGCAUUUGCCAAGAGUGUUUUCAUUAA
rnacentral:rRNA from 1 species